rfam:Equus caballus chromosome 23, whole genome shotgun sequence.
UCCGUCACCUGACACGGCCAAACCAGGAACCGCCGCGGCCCGGCGG